rnacentral:tRNA from 1 species
CAUUAAGAAGCUAUGAACCAGCACUAGCCUUUUAAGCUAGAGACAGAGGAAAACACCCCUCCUUAAUGA